rnacentral:rRNA from 1 species
UACGAAGGGUGCAAGCGUUAAUCGGAAUUACUGGGCGUAAAGCGUGCGUAGGCGGCUAUUUAAGUCUGUUGUGAAAUCCCCGGGCUCAACCUGGGAAUGGCAAUGGAUACUGGAUAGCUAGAGUGUGAUAGAGGAUGGUGGAAUUCCCGGUGUAGCGGUGAAAUGCGUAGAGAUCGGGAGGAACAUCAGUGGCGAAGGCGGCCAUCUGGAUCAACACUGACGCUGAGGCACGAAAGCGUGGGGAGCAAACAGG